UACGUAGGGGGCAAGCGUUGUCCGGAAUCAUUGGGCUUAAAGCGCGUGUAGGCGGCCCGAUAAGUCCGCUGUGAAAGUCCAGGGCUCAACCCUGGAAUGCCGGUGGAUACUGUCGGGCUCGAGUCCGGAAGAGGCGAGUGGAAUUCCUGGUGUAGCGGUGAAAUGCGCAGAUAUCAGGAGGAACACCGAUGGCGAAGGCAGCUCGCUGGGACGGUACUGACGCUGAGACGCGAAAGCUAGGGGAGCGAACAGG
rnacentral:rRNA from 1 species